rnacentral:rRNA from 1 species
UGGAGGACCGAACCGACUAAUGUUGAAAAAUUAGCGGAUGACCUGUGGCUGGGGGUGAAAGGCCAAUCAAACCGGGAGAUAGCUGGUUCUCCCCGAAAGCUAUUUAGGUAGCGCCUCGUGAAUUCAUCUCCGGGGGUAGAGCACUGUUUCGGCUAGGGGGCCAUCCCGGCUUACCAACCCGAUGCAAACUGCGAAUACCGGAGAAUGUUAUCACGGGAGACACACGGCGGGUGCUAACGUCCGUCGUGAAGAGGGAAACAACCCAGACCGCCAGCUAAGGUCCCAAAGUCAUGGUUAAGUGGGAAACGAUGUGGGAAGGCCCAGACAGCCAGGAUGUUGGCUUAGAAGCAGCCAUCAUUUAAAGAAAGCGUAAUAGCUCACUGGUCGAGUCGGCCUGCGCGGAAGAUGUAACGGGGCUAAACCAUGCACCGAAGCUGCG